CAAGAUGGCGGCGCGGUGUUCCACGCGCUGGUUGCUGGUGGCUGUGGGGACCCCCCCGGCUGCCGGCUGCAGCGGGGAAAGGCGCCGGGCCGCCCAGGGGGGGUGUGGUGGGGGCUUCGCUGGGCUACAAGCUGAACGUCACUACCUUCGUGCCUUCCUUGGGAGCUCGGGGCUCCGGUGCGCUGCUGACAUUGAGACCCGGUGUCAGCUUCAAAGGAGUAAGAAGUUACCCUUUUGUUUGUACUGCCUCCUUCCACACGAGCUCCCCUUUGGCCAAAGAGGAUUAUUACCAGAUACUAGGAGUGCCCCGAAAUGCCAGCCCGAAGGAGAUCAAGAAAGCCUAUUACCAGCUGGCCAAGAAAUACCACCCAGACACAAAUAAGGAUGAUCCCAAAGCCAAGGAGAAGUUCUCCCAGCUGGCAGAAGCCUAUGAGGUGCUGAGUGAGGAAGUGAAGAGGAAGCAGUAUGAUGCGAUCGGCUCUGCUGGCUUCGAUCCUGGGGCCGGCAGCUCCGGACAGAGCUACUGGAAGGCAGGCCCCACUGUCAACCCAGAGGAGCUCUUCAGGAAGAUCUUUGGGGAAUUCUCAUCAUCUUCUUUUGGAGAUUUCCAGAAUGUAUUCAAUCAGCCUCAGGAGUACAUCAUGGAGUUGACGUUUAAUCAAGCGGCCAAGGGGGUCAACAAGGAGUUCACCGUGAACAUCACUGACACCUGUGAGCGGUGUGACGGCAAGGGGAACGAGCCUGGCACCAAGCUGCAGAACUGCCACUACUGUGGCGGCUCUGGAAUGGAAACCAUAAAUACAGGCCCUUUUGUGAUGCGCUCCACAUGUCGGAGAUGUGGGGGCCGAGGCUCCAUCAUCACGACUCCCUGCGUGGUAUGCAGAGGAGCAGGACAAGCCAAGCAGAAGAAGAAAGUGGUGAUCCCCGUCCCUACCGGAGUUGAGGAUGGCCAGACUGUUCGGAUGCCUGUAGGAAAACGGGAAAUUUUCAUCACAUUCAGGGUGCAGAAAAGCCCUGUGUCCGGAGGGACGGUGCAGACAUCCACUCCGACCUCUUUAUUUCCAUAGCUCAGGCUCUUCUUGGAGGGACUGCCAGAGCUCAGGGCCUAUACGAGACCAUUACCGUGACGAUCCCCCCUGGGAUUCAGACAGACCAGAAGAUUCAGAUGAGUGGGAAGGGCAUCCCCCGGAUUAACAGCUAUGGCUAUGGAGAUCACUACAUUCACAUCAAGAUAAGAGUUCCAAAGAGACUGACAAGCCGGCAGCAGAGCCUGACCCUGAGCUACGCUGAGGACGAGACCGACGUGGAGGGGACAGUGAACAGCAUCACCAGCACCAGCAUGGGAAAACGGUCCACUGGAAACUAGGCCGGGAGUAGCAGCCCCUCCUCAUGGCCAGGGCACCAGAAGGAUUCCAGAAUCAGCAGCACCGGGCCCCUUCCGGCAGAGGGCAACAGCAAAAUCAUGUGACAACAUACGUCUCCACUGAAUGGUCA